AUUGAACGCUGGCGGCAUGCCUUACACAUGCAAGCCGAACGGCAGCACGGGGCAACCUGGUGGCGAGUGGCGAACGGGUGAGUAAUGCAUCGGAACGUACCUUUCAGUGGGGGAUAACGUAGCGAAAGUUACGCUAAUACCGCAUAUUCUGUGAGCAGGAAAGCAGGGGAUCGCAAGACCUUGCGCUGAUUGAGCGGCCGAUGUCAGAUUAGCUAGUUGGUGAGGUAAAGGCUCACCAAGGCGACGAUCUGUAGCGGGUCUGAGGGGAUGAUCCGCCACACGGGAACUGAGGCACGGGCCAGACUCCUACGGGAGGCAGCAGUGGGGAAUUUUGGACAAUGGGGGCAACCCUGAUCCAGCCAUGCCGCGUGAGUGAAGAAGGCCUUCGGGUUGUAAAGCUCUUUCGGCCGGGAAGAAAUCGCACGGGCUAAUACCCUGUGUGGAUGACGGUACCGGAAUAAGAAGCACCGGCUAACUACGUGCCAGCCGCCGCCGUAACAC
rnacentral:rRNA from 1 species